GAUGAACGCUGGCGGCGUGCCUAAUACAUGCAAGUCGAGCGAACGGACGAGAAGCUUGCUUCUCUGAUGUUAGCGGCGGACGGGUGAGUAACACGUGGAUAACCUACCUAUAAGACUGGGAUAACUUCGGGAAACCGGAGCUAAUACCGGAUAAUAUUUUGAACCGCAUGGUUCAAAAGUGAAAGACGGUCUUGCUGUCACUUAUAGAUGGAUCCGCGCUGCAUUAGCUAGUUGGUAAGGUAACGGCUUACCAAGGCAACGAUGCAUAGCCGACCUGAGAGGGGGAUCGGCCACACUGGAACUGAGACACGGUCCAGACUCCUACGGGAGGCAGCAGUAAGGAAUCUUCCGCAAUGGGCGAAAGCCUGACGGAGCAACGCCGCGUGAGUGAUGAAGGUCUUCGGAUCGUAAAACUCUGUUAUUAGGGAAGAACAUAUGUGUAAGUAACUGUGCACAUCUUGACGGUACCUAAUCAGAAAGCCACGGCUAACUACGUG
rnacentral:rRNA from 1 species